CCCUUAGAUGUUCUGGGCCGCACGCGCGCUACACUGACGAAUGCAACGAGCUUAUAACCUUGGCCGAAAGGUCUGGGUAAUCUCCAAAUUUCGUCGUGAUGGGGAUAGAUUAUUGCAAUUAUUAAUCUUCAGCGAGGAAUGCCUAGUAAGCGCAAGUCAUCAGCUUGCGUUGAUUACGUCCCUGCCCUUUGUACACACCGCCCGUCGCUCCUACCGAUUGAAUGGUCCGGUGAAGCGUUCGGACCGUGGCCUUUGGACGGUUCGCCGUCUGUUGGCUGCGGGAAGUUCGUUAAACCUUAUCAUUUAGAGGAAGGAGAAGUCGUAACA
rnacentral:rRNA from 1 species